GAGAAAGAAGCAUAAGUGGUUUAUGCGGUUGGCUUGAAACCAACAUAUGGGGGUUCGAUUCCUU
rnacentral:tRNA from 1 species